rnacentral:rRNA from 1 species
AACGAACGCUGGCGGCAGGCCUAACACAUGCAAGUCGAGCGGAUGAAGGGGGCUUGCUCUCUGAUUCAGCGGCGGACGGGUGAGUAAUGCCUAGGAAUCUGCCUGGUAGUGGGGGACAACGUUUCGAAAGGAGCGCUAAUACCGCAUACGUCCUACGGGAGAAAGCAGGGGACCUUCGGGCCUUGCGCUAUCAGAUGAGCCUAGGUCGGAUUAGCUAGUUGGUGGGGUAAAGGCUCACCAAGGCGACGAUCCGUAACUGGUCUGAGAGGAUGAUCAGUCACACUGAAACUGAGACACGGUCCAGACUCCUACGGGAGGCAGCAGUGGGGAAUAUUGGACAAUGGGCGAAAGCCUGAUCCAGCCAUGCCGCGUGUGUGAAGAAGGUCUUCGGAUUGUAAAGCACUUUAAGUUGGGAGGAAGGGCAGUAAGUUAAUACCUUGCUGUUUUGACGUUACCAACAGAAUAAGCACCGGCUAACUUCGUGCCAGCCGCCGCCGUAAUAC